rnacentral:tRNA from 1 species
UGCAUCGGCCAGUAAUCGAACCCGGGCCGCCCGCGUUGCAGGCGAGCAUACUACCACUGAACCACCGAUGG